AAUAGAUACCCUGGUAGUCCAUGCCGUAAACGUUGGGAACUAGAUGUAGGGCCUGUUCCACGGGUUCUGUGUCGUAGCUAACGCAUUAAGUUCCCCGCCUGGGGAGUACGGCCGCAAGGCUAAAACUCAAAGGAAUUGACGGGGGCCCGCACAAGCGGCGGAGCAUGCGGAUUAAUUCGAUGCAACGCGAAGAACCUUACCAAGGCUUGACAUAUAGAAGAACACUGCAGAGAUGCAGGACUCUUUGGACACUUCUAUACAGGUGGUGCAUGGUUGUCGUCAGCUCGUGUCGUGAGAUGUUCGGUUAAGUCCGGCAACGAGCGCAACCCUCGUCCUAUGUUGCCAGCACGUGAUGGUGGGAACUCAUGGGAUACUGCCGUGGUCAACACGGAGGAAGGUGGGGAUGACGUCAAAUCAUCAUGCCCCUUAUGUCUUGGGCUUCACGCAUGCUACAAUGGCCGGUACAAAGGGCUGCGAUACCGUAAGGUGGAGCGAAUCCCAAAAAGCCGGUCUCAGUUCGGAUUGGGGUCG
rnacentral:rRNA from 1 species